rnacentral:rRNA from 1 species
UACGUAGGGGGCAAGCGUUGUCCGGAAUCAUUGGGCGUAAAGAGCGCGUAGGCGGCCAGAUAAGUCCGCUGUGAAAUCUCGAGGCUCAACUUCGAGCUGUCGGUGGAAACUGGCUGGCUAGAGUCCGGAAGAGGAGAAUGGAAUUCCUGGUGUAGCGGUGAAAUGCGCAGAUAUCGGGAAGAACACCCGUGGCGAAGGCGGUUCUCUGGGACGGUACUGACGCUGAGGCGCGAAAGCGUGGGGAGCGAACAGG